rnacentral:rRNA from 1 species
UACAGAGGGGGCAAGCGUUGUUCGGAAUUACUGGGCGUAAAGGGCGCGUAGGCGGCCUGUUAAGUCGAACGUGAAAUCCCCGGGCUCAACCCGGGAACUGCGUCCGAUACUGGCAGGCUUGAAUUCGGGAGAGGGAUGUGGAAUUCCAGGUGUAGCGGUGAAAUGCGUAGAUAUCUGGAGGAACACCGGUGGCGAAGGCGGCAUCCUGGACCGAUAUUGACGCUGAUGCGCGAAAGCCAGGGGAGCCAACGGG